UGAUAAGGCCCAGCCCCGUCUCUCAGUACUCUCUAGCUCGUCUCGCCGUUUCCCCCCAACACCGCUCUUCGUCCCUUCGUGUGACUCUCACUCCGCUCCGGACAUGGCAAAAAACACCCCCAGCCCUCCGCCGAGGGCAAGAUCUCGCCGGGGCGCGGCGCCGACGUCGCCAACCCCAGCCGCCGCUCUGAGCCCUCCUUUCUCCCUUGCCCCACUGCGCACCCGCCUUGGCGCUGCUGCUGCUGCUGCGGCGGCGGCGGCCGCCGCCGCCGCCGCCGCCUCCUCAUCCCCCGNNNNNNNNNNNNNNGUCACGCUGUGGGAAUGGUGGCCGGUGAGGGUGGAAGGGGAGGAGCGGAAACUCGCGGUUUCCGGCUUCACUGAAAGGAAUGACGCAUUCACUUCUGCACCCAUAGCACAUCGUUAUGAGCCUCUCACGCUCCAGGAUGAAGGUGGGGUUGUGGUGCUCCUUCAUGGUUCAAUUAGCUUGUUGCGAAUGCGUCAAAAUGGAUUUUCUGUGCAGAUAUGCGAACAAUUCAUGAUUGGAUUUCCGUCCUGGUGGGAGACUUGGGAUUCGCACAUGGAGUCUUACCCAAACUGUUUUAUUGAUCCACGAGAGGGUUCAGCUCAGUUUUACCUGGAGAAAUUCCAGCUAGGCAAUUUUAUUCAAAAGUUUGGACCCUCGUUCAUCGAGGACCUUCUUAAUAAUGCUAAAAAUUUCCCAAUCGACCAUCUCGAUGCAUUCACAGAGAGUUCAAGAUUCCAGGAACACAACUGUGGAAAUGAUGCUUCAACCAACGAAAAUUCUGCUGCUUCAGAUGAUGCCAGACCCGCAACUGUAGCUAAUGUGGAAAUAGGCUUGACUACGAGCAGCACUUCACAAGAAAGAGAUCAUGUGGACAUUGAGUGUAAUGUAUCUCUUGCUCCUGCAGAAACAUAUACUGGUGAUGAAACUUGCAAAGAGGCAGGAAAUCAGAAUGACACUAUGCAUCCAGAUGCAAGGGAAGACAAUGCUGGUAGCCAUCUUUUCAACUCCGAUUGGACUUGCACUAUGUGCCCUGAUCAUAUGCCCAAUGACUCAGAAGGUGGAAAUGCCACCCGUGCUGAAAAUGACACCAUGUCCCCUGAUCAUAUGUCCCCUGAUAAUAUGCCCAAUGACUCGGAAGGUGGAAAUGCCACCAGUGCUGAAAACUCAGUAGAACUGCUGGGUAAAUAUCCUUUAGCCGUAGUACUGCCUGAAAGUGCUAAUUGCUGCUCAGAGAUUCCUGGUGCUUCUCAAAGUGUUGAACCCUCAAGUUAUCAAAGUACUCCAGUGGCUUCACUGAAGAAUCAACACUGCUUGGAAACAACUGAGCACAUCACAUUGACUCAGAAGGCAGUAUCAAAUGAAGAUACACCAUCUUCAAUUCACUCAGAUGUGCAAUCCCAGGAAAAAACUGUAGGUUCAGCAGAGAAGCGGAGAUCUGCAAAGCAAGUGUUGGAGCGUCCUACUAGAUCGCCAAUGACCAGAACUUCAGCCCCAUAUGUGCAUAAAUCUCGGCUUACUCGUUCUAGGGCCCAGUCAUUAUCUAUUUCCACACCCGAGUCUCUCAAAAUGAGAAGAACCAAAUCAGGUCGAGUGGUAGUACCCCAAUUGGAUCCAGGAAGGAGUAGGAUUGUCUAUGACAACAAUGGGUUGAUUUCAGGCGUUGCUCCUGUGGAUGGUUUGUUGAGAAGCUCCCCUGCCAAAUUUGCAUGCCAUAUACUACGUAUAUAGCUUUCCCUCCUUGGUAAGCAUAAUAAUCACGCGUGUCCUUGGGUGAUAGGGAAGAAGUCAGCGAGACCUGCAAAGAACACAAGGGGGCCUCUCUGAAUGACCUCUUGGACUGUCCGGAAGCUAACAACCUGGAAUUUCGACAUGGAAGUCCCAAGGCUCCAGCACCAGCACCAAGCGGUCGGCGACAGUAUAAGAUCCACUUGUUUGUACGGUGGAACAUCUCUGCUGGAUAUUUGCUGAUUAGGACCUUGUAACAGCAGAUGUGGGCAGCUUUUAUUUCCAUUUUGUGUGUCCCAUGCCCUAACUAACUAAAUCUUACUGGAGUGCCACAAACAUGGCAUGUCUUGCUCUUAACUAGUACUGGAGUAAAUCUUACUGGAGUGCUGCAAAAUCUUAGGCCCCGAUUGGAUUAGCGUUUCAGCUCGUUUAUGGCCGGUUUAGGAUACGGACCUCCUUCCUCCUGUCGUUUUCAUUCCAGGCAGGAACCAAGAGGUGACCGGUAAUUUGCACCUGUAAAAUAAAUGGGUCGUAUUAUGUAGAGUGGGUCCGUUCUGCGUAUUAUGUCGAGUGGGAGCAUCAGUUCGGUCCUAGGUU
rnacentral:rRNA from 1 species